AAGGGCACCACAAGAACGCGUGGAGCAUGUGGCUUAAUUUGACCCAACGCGGGAAAUCUUACCAGGUCCGGACAUAUUGAGGAUUGACAGGCGAUAGGAUUAUUAUAUUUUAAUAUAAUAAUUCAUAAAAAUGAUAGUCCUUUCAUGAUUAUAUGAUAGGUGGUGCAUGGCCGUUCUUAGUUCGUGGAGUGAUCUGUCUGCUUAAUUGCGUUUCAGAUAUAUAAUUAUAUAAUAAUAUUAUAUAUUAAUAUUUCAAAAUAUAAUAUUGUGCUGCCUAUAUAUUUAUAUAGGAUUUUAAGUGAACAUAUUAUAUUUAAUUACAUAUAUAUAUAUAUUAUAUAUUAAAAUGAAUGCAACGAACGUGACCG
rnacentral:rRNA from 1 species